rnacentral:lncRNA from 1 species
UACAUCAUGAAACCAUCUAUACAUUCAUAAAUACGAAUGGUCUAAUGCCAUACUCCACUUCUACAAGCCAUCUUCGCAUGGCUGUACACUUAUACAUUUCAUAAAGUACUCGAAAGACAACAAUGGGUAGUCCUAUACAUGCCAUAACAAAAUUCAACCAAAAUAGUACCCAAAAGAGCCUUUGAUAGUGUGGGCGACUUCGACUUCAAGAUCCCGAGUCCGAUAGCUGGAGAACCAAAAAUCUUCGGGAUUUAACCGGAUAUAGCUCCUCGUUCAAAUGCCUUCGGGACAUAGCCCGGUUUUAGUAACUCACACAAUGCCUUCGGGACAUAACCCGGAUUUAACAACUCGCACGAAUGCCUUCGGGACUUAACCCGGAUUUAAUAACUCGCACGAAUGCCUUCGGGACUUAACCCGGAUUUAAUAACUCGCACGAAUGCCUUCGGGACUUAACCCGGAUUUAGUAUCUCGCACAAAGGCCUUCGGAUCUUAAUCCGGAUAUAUUCACUUAGCACAAAGCCUUCGGGACUUAGCCCGGACAGCAUUCAAUUAAUCAUGCACAUCUAACAAUAAUUCAUAGCACAUUCAUAUUUCAUUUUCGUUUACGAAACUCAAACACAAGGCACAUAUUGUCCUUGCACAUUCGGCUCAAUAGCCACACAUAGAGCAUGAUUUAAUCACAUCGAAAUUUAAGCUCUCUUACUCAAGAACUUACCUCGGGUGUUGUCGAACGAUUCCGCUAGCUAUUCAACCACUUUUUCCUUCCCUUUAUCGGUUUUAUUUCCCCUUUGCUCUUGAG